AUCUUCCGCAAUGGACGAAAGUCUGACGGAGCAACGCCGCGUGAGUGAUGAAGGUUUUCGGAUCGUAAAGCUCUGUUGUUAGGGAAGAACAAGUGCCGUUCAAAUAGGGCGGCACCUUGACGGUACCUAACCAGAAAGCCACGGCUAACUACGUGCCAGCAGCCGCGGUAAUACGUAGGUGGCAAGCGUUGUCCGGAAUUAUUGGGCGUAAAGGGCUCGCAGGCGGUUUCUUAAGUCUGAUGUGAAAGCCCCCGGCUCAACCGGGGAGGGUCAUUGGAAACUGGGGAACUUGAGUGCAGAAGAGGAGAGUGGAAUUCCACGUGUAGCGGUGAAAUGCGUAGAGAUGUGGAGGAACACCAGUGGCGAAGGCGACUCUCUGGUCUGUAACUGACGCUGAGGAGCGAAAGCGUGGGGAGCGAACAGGAUUAGAUACCCUGGUAGUCCACGCCGUAAACGAUGAGUGCUAAGUGUUAGGGGGUUUCCGCCCCUUAGUGCUGCAGCUAACGCAUUAAGCACUCCGCCUGGGGAGUACGGUCGCAAGACUGAAACUCAAAGGAAUUGACGGGGGCCCGCACAAGCGGUGGAGCAUGUGGUUUAAUUCGAAGCAACGCGAAGAACCUUACCAGGUCUUGACAUCCUCUGACAAUCCUAGAGAUAGGACGUCCCCUUCGGGGGCAGAGUGACAGGUGGUGCAUGGUUGUCGUCAGCUCGUGUCGUGAGAUGUUGGGUUAAGUCCCGCAACGAGCGCAACCCUUGAUCUUAGUUGCCAGCA
rnacentral:rRNA from 1 species